rnacentral:rRNA from 1 species
UACAGAGGUCUCAAGCGUUGUUCGGAAUCACUGGGCGUAAAGGGUGCGUAGGCGGCGAGGAAAGUCAGAUGUGAAAUCCGAGGGCUCAACCCUCGAAUAGCAUCCGAUACUUCCCUGCUCGAGAUUUGUAGAGGAGUCUGGAACUCUCGGUGUAGCAGUGAAAUGCGUGGAUAUCGAGAAGAACGCUCGUAGCGAAGGCGAGGCUCUGGGCAAAUUCUGACGCUGAGGCACGAAGGCUAGGGGAGCAAACGGG